rnacentral:rRNA from 1 species
UACUACGGGAGGCAGCAGUAGGGAAUCUUCCGCAAUGGACGAAAGUCUGACGGAGCAACGCCGCGUGAGCGAUGAAGGCCUUCGGGUCGUAAAGCUCUGUUGUCAGGGAAGAACAAGUACCGGAGUAACUGCCGGUACCUUGACGGUACCUGACCAGAAAGCCACGGCUAACUACGUGCCAGCAGCCGCGGUAAUACGUAGGUGGCAAGCGUUGUCCGGAAUUAUUGGGCGUAAAGCGCGCGCAGGCGGUUCCUUAAGUCUGAUGUGAAAGCCCCCGGCUCAACCGGGGAGGGUCAUUGGAAACUGGGGAACUUGAGUGCAAAAGAGGAGAGCGGAAUUCCCCCUGUACCGGUGAAAUGCGUAGAGAUGUGAAGGAACACCCGUGGCAAAGGCGGCUCUCUGGUCUGUAACUGACGCUGAGGCGCGAAAGCGUGGGGAGCGAACAGGAUUAGAUACCCCGGGAGUCCACGCCGAAAACAAUGAGUGCCUAAUGUUAAAAGGGUUCCCCCCUUUUGGGCUGC